GACGAACGCUGGCGGCGUGCUUAACACAUGCAAGUCGAACGCGCCUGUCCUCUGGGUUUCUGGGGGGUGGGUGAGUGGCGAACGGGUGAGUAACACGUGAGUAACCUGCCCCCUUCUUCGGGAUAACGGUCUGAAAGGGCUGCUAAUACCGGGUAUUCACUGGUCUCCGCAUGGGGUCUGGUGGAAAGGUUUUUUUCUGGUGGGGGAUGGGCUCGCGGCCUAUCAGCUUGUUGGUGGGGUGAUGGCCCACCAAGGCUUUGACGGGUAGCCGGCCUGAGAGGUUGACCGGUCACAUUGGGACUGAGAUACGGCCCAGACUCCUACGGGAGGCAGCAGUGGGGAAUAUUGCACAAUGGGCGCAAGCCUGAUGCAGCGACGCCGCGUGAGGGAUGGAGGCCUUCGGGUUGUGAACCUCUUUCGCCCGUGGUCAAGCCGCGACGUGGGUCGUGGUGAGGGUAGUGGGUAAAGAAGCGCCGGCUAACUACGUG
rnacentral:rRNA from 1 species